UUUGCGUCGAAGGUAUACCGGUAAGGAGUGCUGGAGCGAAUAGAAGUGAGCAUGCAGGCAUGAGUAGCGAUAAUUAAUGUGAGAAUCAUUAACGCCGUAAACCCAAGGUUUCCUACGCGAUGCUCGUCAUCGUAGGGUUAGUCGGGUCCUAAGUCGAGUCCGAAAGGGGUAGACGAUGGCAAAUUGGUUAAUAUUCCAAUACCAACAUUAGUGUGCGAUGGAAGGACGCUUAGGGCUAAGCAAGCUAGCGGAUGGAAGUGCUAGUCUAAGGAUGUAGGAGCUUAUACAGGCAAAUCCGUAUAAGAAUACUCCGAGAUCUUAAAGGCUCUUUGAAGUCUUCGGAUGGAUAGGAGAAUUGCUGAUGCCGUCGAGCCAAGAAAAGUUUCUAAGUUUAGCUAAUGUUGCCCGUACCGUAAACCGACACAGGUGGGUGGGAUGAGUAUUCUAAGGCGCGUGGAAGAACUCUCUUUAAGGAACUCUGCAAAAUAGCACCGUAUCUUCGGUAUAAGGUGUGGUUCGCUUCGUAUUAGGAUUUACUCCGAAAGCGAAGAAACUUACAACAAAGAGUCCCUCCCGACUGUUUACCAAAAACACAGCACUCUGCUAACUCGUAAGAGGAUGUAUAGGGUGUGACGCCUGCCCGGUGCUCGAAGGUUAAUUGAUGGGGUUAGCAUUAGCGAAGCUCUUGAUCGAAGCCCGAGUAAACGGCGGCCGUAACUAUAACGGUCCUAAGGUAGCGAAAUUCCUUGUCGGUUAAAUACCGACCUGCAUGAAUGGCGUAACGAGAUGGGAGCUGUCUCAAAGAGGGAUCCAGUGAAAUUGUAGUGGAGGUGAAAAUUCCUCCUACCCGCGGCAAGACGGAAAGACCCCGUGGACCUUUACUACAGCUUGACACUGCUAUUUGGAUAAGAAUGUGCAGGAUAGGUGGGAGGCUUUGAGUAUAUGACGCCAGUUGUAUAUGAGCCAUUGUUGAGAUACCACUCUUUCUUAUUUGGGUAGCUAACCAGCUUGAGUUAUCCUCAAGUGGGACAAUGUCUGGUGGGUAGUUUGACUGGGGCGGUCGCCUCCCAAAUAAUAACGGAGGCUUACAAAGGUUGGCUCAGAACGGUUGGAAAUCGUUCGUAGAGUAUAAAGGUAUAAGCCAGCUUAACUGCAAGACAUACAAGUCAAGCAGAGACGAAAGUCGGUCUUAGUGAUCCGGUGGUUCUGUGUGGAAGGGCCAUCGCUCAAAGGAUAAAAGGUACCCCGGGGAUAACAGGCUGAUCUCCCCCAAGAGCUCACAUCGACGGGGAGGUUUGGCACCUCGAUGUCGGCUCAUCGCAUCCUGGGGCUGGAGCAGGUCCCAAGGGUAUGGCUGUUCGCCAUUUAAAGCGGUACGCGAGCUGGGUUCAGAACGUCGUGAGACAGUUCGGUCCCUAUCUGCCGUGGGCGUAAGAAGAUUGAAGAGAUUUGACCCUAGUACGAGAGGACCGGGUUGAACAAACCACUGGUGUAGCUGUUGUUCUGCCAAGAGCAUCGCAGCGUAGCUAAGUUUGGAACGGAUAAACGCUGAAAGCAUCUAAGCGUGAAGCCAACUCUAAGAUGAAUCUUCUCUAAGCUCUCUAGAAGACUACUAGUUUGAUAGGCUGGGUGUGUAAUGGAUGAAAGUCCUUUAGCUGACCAGUACUAAUAGAGCGUUUGGCUUAUCUUUUUUAUAAGCAU
rnacentral:rRNA from 1 species